GGAAAAUUUCCCAAAUAGAAAGCUGCCAAAGUAAAACAGAGACACAGUGAGACAAUAUAAAAAAUACCUAUGUACAUGGGUGAACUCUCGGGAGAGUCACACAGUACUCUUCUUUAUUGCAGGUUAUAUAGGCACGUAGGUUACACAGCAGACGGAGGCAGUCUCCGCCUGUUCUCAGAAUAUAUUGCUUAACUGACAAAUGCAUAUCUUACUAAACAUUCUGUCUGUACUAUACUAAACGUCUGCUUAAGUGGCAUUUUCCGUUGCUUUUUGCACAGGAACUUGUCUUCACAGGCAUUUGAUAAGCAUAGGCAAGGUUUCAUGUUUUAUCAGGGUGAAUCAUCAUUCAGAGUUUACACAAUCACAAGCAAAGCAUAUUUGAAUAAUAAACAAAAUCUUUUCACAUACUCUAAAUAACAAUAUCUAUUGCACUGACUUAUUUCUGCAGUGGAACCAAGUAUCACUCCGAGCUUCGAUGUGUCAUUGUGACUGUUGCAAACGGACCAAUAACAACCACACCAACUACUACACCUACAACAACUACCACCAAUACACCAAAUACUACACCUACAACAACUAUUACACCUACAACAACCACCACCAGUACACCAACUACUACACCUACAACAACUGCUACACCUAUAACAACAACUACCACCAGUACACCAACUACUACACCUACAACAACUACCACCAGUACACCAACUACUACACCUACAACAACUACUACCAGCACUUCAACUACUACACCUACAACAACUACUACACCUACAACAACUACUACUAGUACUUCAAGUAAAACUCUUCCUGCAUCAACUACACCCAGUGAACGAUCUU
ensembl:lncRNA